AACUCUCAACCCCCCUGUUUUGUAAUGAGAUAGGCGUGGGCUUGGAUUAUGGCUGCCUGUCGGCGUAAAGUCGGCUCAGCUGAAAUACACGAGCAACCCAUUUGAAAUAGACGGUUUGACUCGGCGUAAUAAUUAUUUCGCUGAGGACGUCUAACCUUUAAAUCGUUAGUGGUGCUUCUAAUGCAUUUAUAAUUUAAGC
rnacentral:misc_RNA from 1 species